AUUUUGCAUAACUAGCAACUCUAAAAUAAACACUGUAGGCAUAACCUUUAAUGCAUAACCUUCCAUGUUUUUUUUCGUAUCACCCUAUACCUUGCUGGCUUUAUUCUUCCAUCACAUUAUUGACUACCGAUGCACUUUGCAUUAGAGGUUAGGUAUAAUGUUUCUAUAGAAAGGUGUAGAUAUACAGUAGUGAGGAUAUUUUUAAAAUAUCAUACAGUAUAUGCCCUAUAAUACCUUUUUAAAUUGAGCAUAUGAGAUCCCUAUCAGCUACUGUAUAUCCUUUAUUACAGUAUCUGCAAUUAAUCUGCUUUUUUUAAACCAGCUUUGCUAUUUAUCAGUUCAGUUGUUAGAGCAUAUCUGCUUGGAAUUUUUUAUUAAACUGGGCAUUACGAUUUGAGCCAAAAAUUAUUUUGUUAUAAAACGAAUAACAUUAAUGUAUUGAAAUUGUCUCUUAUCGUGUCUGUAUCACUUUCAGAUGACCUUAUUAUUCACCUUCCUCUGUAUCCAUAUGUGGCAUUCAUUUGUUAUGAGAUGAACAUUCCAUGUCUUAUGUUUGAAUAGUUCAGUGUCAGGAUGCAUUUGGAAUGUAAUGUCAACUAUGAAAUCCAUAUUUUAAAUAGGAGCCCAUUAUUUUGCUGAGAGAACUGUAUCAGCUAUUGUGUCACAAUUAUGUGCAUGUUGCUUUAUAAAGCUCAGUCCUAAAUUUGUAUUAUGGGCUAAAGCCACCUGAGCAUAUAUGUCCAAUGCAACUUUUAUGUUGACAUACUAGGGAUAACAAAAAAAAAUUAUCAACAUUUUUAAAAUGUAUCCUUUGAAGUUCUUUGGGACCAGAAGUGACAAAUGCUAAAAUGAAACUGCUUUAUAUUCUUUUUAGAGCCAGAACUACCAGGAACCAGAAAUAUUUCUUAAUUAAAACAAUAAACAAAAAGAUGUUCAGCUCAAGCCCUAUUCAUUAAACUAAAGUAAAAAAGGGAUGUAUCCCUUGAAAAUUAGACUUUGCCUUGCCAAGGCCUCUGACUAGGGUAUACUUUCUUGAUCAAAGCUAACUACUGUAUCUAUGGGGAUGUUUUCAUUAAAAAUAGCUAAAUGGUACACAAACCAUCCAUGGAUCUUUCUUGGUAGUCCAGAGAAUGUAUUUUUGAAUUGUAUUAUUUUACCCAUGCUUGUAUUUACCGGAAAUGAGAGAAAGGAUAAAUCAUGUUUUUCACCUGGCCAGACUCUCAAAUAUGUUCUUAAAUAUACAUUUUACUGAAUAGCAAUUGUUUUCUAUAUAUAUAUGUUGUUUAAAUAAUAAUCAUACUUUAAGGUUUACAAAUAGAAUUACAACACUUUUGGUAAAUGAUAUGCAAUUUUCAGAUCUUAACUUCUUCCUAUGGUUAUUUAAACCAAUACAAAUAAACAGGUACUUUGAUAUGAUAUUUGGAGAUGUGUCUUGUGUACUCAAGUACUGUGCUAUGCUGGUUUAUUUACAGAAGUAACAUAAACCCAUUACUUUUCUAUGUCUGCACAAAAUAUAUCAGUUUUAAGCUACUAUAACAGUAUCUAUUACCAUAUUAUCCUAUGGUAAUCAUUGCCGGGGUGCUUUACUAAACAAAGGACUAAAGAAUGGGUCUUUCAGUAUAAUAUAAGAAUGUUUCUAUACAGAAAAGGCCAAUGUAAUUAAAUAGAAUCAUGAAGGUUCUAUUGUAAAGUGAACUAAUAUGAUUUUUUUUUCUUUUUUUGUAUACAUUGAUUCAUAAGAAAUGCUAAAUUUCUCAACAAGUAAAAAUCUGGGGCCUAUGAUCUGAUAUGCAAGUUUCCGAAAAUCAGACAAUUUUAAUCCCUCUGCUGUGUUUGAAUGUAAGCCUCCUGUUAUGCUUCUGUAAGCUGAAAUUUUGUAUCAUGGUAAAGACAGAUUGUGUUUGUACUAAAAUAGAUUUCAGUGUUCUACACUUUCUCAAUAUCCAUUUGACAGUAUAUACACCAUUAAAGUGGCAUAUGAGUUUUCACACACACGACAAAAAAAAGUGAAAAAAAACCAGAAACCAAUAUUUUAUGUUAUUAUGCAGUCAGGUUCAUUUUCAACAAAUCUUAUUGGCAGGCAGGAUAUUCAGAGUUUAUUUUCAGAUCCAUCAACAGUAUAAGUUUUAAGGAUGACUUGUUGAUGCUUUAGCCUCUUAGUGAUUUUGACAGUUCUAACACAGCUAAAGACAGAACCACCUGUGCUUUUAUGAAAAUACACAGUAUUUAUUAGGAAUAUAAUGUGUGCUUAUAAGAUUAUUGUGUAAAAAAACAUGUUGUAAAUAUUUUCAAAGAAGUGAUAGGUUACGGCUAGUGAUGGUCUUGUCUAGAGGUGAAAAACUUCUCCAUAAAGGUGGUGGAGAAGAGCUUUAAUUUGUAUACUGUAUUCGAACAACCAUUAUAAUGUUGUUGUUUUUAUGCCAUGCAUGUGAACUUUAACUAUUCAUAAACAACAUCUCCCAUUAUCUUCAGGGAGCUGCACUUGUGCUAUGUCUGGGGAGCCAUACGUCAUAGUAUGAUGUGACUAUAUAAUUUAAAGGGUUAAGUCGUACAAGCAAUAGAGUGAUAGUAUUAGUCAGGUUACUUUGGAUUUAGCAUAGUUAAGUAGGUAUUUACUGAAUGGUCUAUGCUAUAAUGAAGGGAUAAUUGCCAGGCUCCAUAUGGAAGCUUAUUUGCUAUAUUAAAUGUAUUUGCUCAAUUUUCCUUUUAGUUUAUGAUAAUUCUUGUGAAAAGCUUUGAGCCAUUGUGCUGAAUUAGAAAAAAAAUCUUGGAUUCCUUUGACUCAGGACUGUCUACAUCAGUAUUUACUAAUAUCAGUAACAGACAUUGGUAAUUUACAGACACUUGCAAAAUUACUUUUUGCAACCUAAUUUUUUUGGAACUAGGAAUGUGACUGAUUCACACACCAUUUUUAGGAUAUUCUCUCAUCACAAGACAUAAAUGCCUCUCUGAAUUACAUAUAUAUGAAAAUGAUUGGAAUAAAAAGGUCUUUUGCAACUUUAACCUCAUAGUUUCAGUUUUAAGUGCCACCAAUGCACUUAUGGCAACAGCUGCCUAUGCAAUCUUUUAAGUGCUCUAAUCAACUGAUGAUAGAUUCUUUAGCUACUCACAUGGUGCCUGAAAUUUUUGACAGUGUGAACAACUUAUACAAAUAUAUAUUUGCAUGCACAAAAUGUUGAAAUUAUUCAAAGGUACGGUUUCCUCUUUAAUUGUCAACCUCUGAAUCAUGUUUUGGUUGUUCAGAAUGUGUAUCAUAAAUAUAUCAUAAAAAUAAAUGUAUCAUAAAUAACAUGCCCUGGUAAAGAGUUCAGGGAAUGAGAAUGAAAAUGAUUCACUAUGACAAUGAGCUCAUAUAUUUUCAAAAAAAAAAAAAAACACUAAUGGAGCAUCUACAAUAAAAUUUCAUUUUUCCAUUUUCCUUUGUUUUAAUUUUUUUUAAUGGAAACCCUCAGUGCAAGGUUGCCAACAUUUGUGGUUCCUGUCAGUAGUUUGGAAAGAAGCACAAAUCAUUUAAGGCUUCUUGUAGUGAUAUCAAGAACAACAUCUAGAUUGUCCAGAUGGCACAUAAUUUAGAAAGACUGUGCUGAGCAAUUGUUGGAAAGUGUUAUUACUAUUAGCCAGGGUGGCUGAUUAAAAACAAAGCUUAGACAAAGCCGAGUCUGCUAUGAGUGGCAAAUGAAAUAUUUUUACUAUCAACUGGUAGAAGUCAAAAAGAACACUACAUUUUCGUAACCUAGACAUAUAGGUUUAACGUUCCCUUUGUGUAAAAUGAUUGGUGAUUUUUCAGCCUCUUAUGCUCUUUUACUUUUCCUUGGGCAAACUUUUGUUUUACAUUGUAGUAAGACAAAACAGAGGCACCAAAAGGAUGUUUUGUUUUACAUUGGAAAACGGAAUAUUGUUUUUUUGGGGACAACAUCAGGUUUGUAAGCGUGCCUGAAUUACUGUGAAAUUUCAAUUUUGGGCUUGAUUCAAUCCAAUGCGAUGUGGUACAUUUUGUAUGAUAAGUGCGCCUUUUCGGAUGUCCGCUAUGCGCUAAACACGUAUUGCAUUAAUCUAUAUAUCUUUCCGUUACCUAUGUUUUCACUACCUAACGGCUUAUUGGAAGCGGCGGGAACGCUUUCUUUUCGCAAUUCAAUUUAACUCAAAACCACUUACCUAGUGAAGUCUUUUGCGUUAUCUUCCUGUUUCCCUUACACAACCUUGACCUGGCGGAACUUUCUCCUACAGCUGAAGCCUUUUAGCCCUCUUUCCAUCUACUGUUCUGACACAUGCUCCUUAUCGCACACAUUUUUAAAGGAAGUUACAGCUACGCCAAUGCAUAUUUCAUUCAUAUUUUCAAUUUUUCUAUUGGUUUUUAAAGAUAUAUUUAUUAAAAAUAUAUGACCUAUGUGUCUUAUUUUUAUUUAUUCCAUUUUCAUUCAUGUCUUUAUGUUUUUAAAUAAGUGUGUGUGUGUAACACUUGACUAGUACUGCAUCACUUUAUUUCAUUGGGAUGAAUGUUUUUGCAACCUUCCCUGGAAGCACAAGCGACUCAUAUUCUGCGUCAUUCAUCAGUCAACAGGCAUUUUGAAUCUGGUCAAUGAAGUGGUGGUUGGCUUGUAGUGGACAAUCAUCUAUUGAGGGAUCUACAAUUACCUGAAGCUAUUUAAGGUGAUUAGCAACAUGAAGAUCCUCCUGUUCAUCCCACAGAUCAGGCCAACGUGGGAACCAGGUCCGGCAGCAAAUCAUUCAUGGAUACUUCUCUUGAAUUGUUGAAAGAUUGGAAUGCCUUAUCGGACACAUGGUAUGGGUCCAGCUCACCUUCAGAAUGGUCAUAUUCUGAUGGUUCCUGAUUCUUCUCUGGCUCAUCUGAAAAUACAGCAUCAUCAUGUGAUUGUGCUUCUGCUUCGUCACAUUACAGGAUGACUUGUAUUGUCAACAUUUUUUUAGUAUAGAUUGUUGGAUUAUCAACAAUUUAAUAAUCCAUUCAUUCAAUAAAGAUGUUGGAUUAUUUUGUUC